rnacentral:snoRNA from 1 species
GACUGAUGGUGGUGAGGUCAAUUUCUAAGCAUACCCUUAAAUCUUUUCCAAGCGUAGUAAAGAUUUUCUCUUUUUUCUGCCUGAAACUCAAAAUCUCACUUCUCAAGUU